rnacentral:tRNA from 1 species
GGGGAUCGGACAUAUUAAGAGCGCACGGUUCACAUCCGUGAAGUCGGCGGUUCGAGUCCGCCCGUGCCCA